UACGUAGGGGGCUAGCGUUGUCCGGAAUCAUUGGGCGUAAAGAGCGUGUAGGCGGUCCGGUAAGUCCGCUGUGAAAGUCGGGGGCUCAACCUCGAAUGCCGGUGGAUACUGUCGGGCUAGAGUGCGGAAGAGGCGAGUGGAAGUUCCUGGUGGUAGCGGUGAAAUGCGCAGAUAUCAGGAGGAACACCUAUUGCGAAGGCAGCUCCGCUGGGACGUAACUGACGCUGAGACGCGAAAGCGUGGGGGAGCAAACAGG
rnacentral:rRNA from 1 species